UACGGAGGAUCCGAGCGUUAAUCGGAAUUACUGGGCGUAAAGCGUGCGCAGGCGGUUUGCUAAGACAGGUGUGAAAUCCCCGGGCUUAACCUGGGAACUGCGCUUGUGACUGGCAGGCUAGAGUACGGCAGAGGGGGGUGGAAUUCCUGGUGUAGCAGUGAAAUGCGUAGAUAUCAGGAGGAACACCGAUGGCGAAGGCAGCUCCCUGGGCCUGUACUGACGCUCAUACACGAAAGCGUGGGGAGCAAACAGGAUUAGAUACCCCGGUA
rnacentral:rRNA from 1 species